rnacentral:rRNA from 2 species
AGCAGCCGCGGUAAUUCCAGCUCCAAUAGCGUAUAUUAAAGUUGCUGCAGUUAAAAAGCUCGUAGUUGAAUUUCGGGACCAAUAUGUCGGUCGUGCCUCGGUACGUACUGGCAUCGUUGGUUUCUCCCUUCUGACGAACCAUGAUGUCAUUUAUUUGGUGUCGUGGGGAAUCAGGACUGUUACUUUGAAAAAAUUAGAGUGUUUAAAGCAGGCUCACGCUUGAAUACAUUAGCAUGGAAUAAUGAAAUAGGACGUUUGAUUCUAUUUUGUUGGUUUCUAGGAUCGACGUAAUGAUUAAUAGGGAUAGUUGGGGGCAUUAGUAUUCAAUUGUCAGAGGUGAAAUUCUUGGAUUUAUUGAAGACUAACUACUGCGAAAGCAUUUGCCAAGGAUGUUUUCAUUAAUCAAGAACGAAAGUUAGGGGAUCGAAGACGAUCAGAUACCGUCGUAGU